rnacentral:rRNA from 1 species
GUGCCAGCAGCCGCGGUAAUACGUAGGGAGCAAGCGUUGUCCGGAUUUACUGGGCGUAAAGGGCGCGUAGGCGGUUUGUUAAGUGUGAAGUGAAAUCUCCAGGGCUCAACCCGGAAACUGCUUCGCAUACUGGCAGACUAGAGGAAUGCAGAGGUGAUUGGAAUUCCCGGUGUAGCGGUGACAUGCACUGAUAUCGGGAGGAACACCCGCGGCGAAGGCGGAUCACUGGGCAUUAUCUGACGCUGAGGCGCGAAAGCGUGGGUAGCAAACAGGAUUAGAUACCCUGGUAGUCC